rnacentral:rRNA from 2 species
CAGUGAUAAACUGGAGGAAGGUGGGGAUGACGUCAAGUCAUCAUGGCCCUUACGACCAGGGCUACACACGUGCUACAAUGGCGCAUACAAAGAGAAGCGACCUCGCGAGAGCAAGCGGACCUCAUAAAGUGCGUCGUAGUCCGGAUUGGAGUCUGCAACUCGACUCCAUGAAGUCGGAAUCGCUAGUAAUCGUGGAUCAGAAUGCCACGGUGAAUACGUUCCCGGGCCUUGUACACACCGCCCGUCACACCAUGGGAGUGGGUUGCAAAAGAAGUAGGUAGCUUAACCUUCGGGAGGGCGCUUACCACUUUGUGAUUCAUGACUG